rnacentral:rRNA from 1 species
CCUGAGAAACCCAAAAGAUCGAAUGGGGAGAUUCAUCGUCAGCUCAUUUUGUAUAUAUAUAAGUUAUGAUGUGGGUUACUUGUAGUAUUGCCUAUACAUUCUUGUAUAUUUUAUUGCUGAAUGUUGUCGGCGUGCACUUCUCCCCUAGUAGAACGUCGCGACUCGUUGAGUGUCGGUCUACGGCCCAAGUGAUAGUCUUUAAUGAUAAAUUUAAAAAAGUCAUUAAAAAUCCUUGGUGUUUUCUGAUCCGACUACUUGGCGAUACUCAAACGGUAUUUAGCCGCAAAUUUAUUUAAUUUGCGUUCAUACCCGUCGCAAGCGAGGCCAAUUCAAUUACUAGUAGUGCGGACCAAGUGCCGUCGCUGGUAUUAGCCAGCUGUUGGUUGUACGGUGUUCUAGAACUGGCUAUAGAAAUUACCGGUCAGCGAUGCUACUGCUUUGGGUACUUUCAG